rnacentral:lncRNA from 1 species
GGGGUAUUUCUUUAAUUGCCACAAUCACCCAAGGCUCUGGGUUUAUUUUUAUACAUUACUCAUCUGUUUAUUCAAUUUAUAUAUCAUUUGAUCUUGUGUGUAAGUCUUAAAAUUUCAGUUAUCAACUUGAGUGUUAUCAGGGUUAUUUUUCAUGCCAAAAGGCUCAGAAAUGCCAGUUGACUUAUGGACCUGGCUCUAGUUUUUCUUUUUUUUCCAAAGAUACGGUUAUUAGUCGGGGUUCUGGUAGGAAGGAGAUAGCUGUGUUGAAAAGACUUUUUAAAUGAAGCACUUUGGGCAGAAUUAUGGGGACCAGCAAGGGGUGCAGAGGCACCCUGAGCCCUGAAGGACCACAAGAGGCUGGGGACAGCAUUGUCAGAGUCUGAUAAGAAAUGAGCUGUGUGAGAGGGACCACCAACAGAAGGUACCAUAAGGGAACACAGCCACCAGCAACCUGUGGCGAGGCUGGAGGGAGCUGGCAGGAUACAUGCCCUUGGGUCUCUCCUCCCACCUCUUGAUUUCCUGAUGCUGCCUCCAAUUGGCCAGUCUGGAUGAUCCAAUCCAGAAAGAUCAAGUUUCCUGUCCCAGAGAAGGGCUGAGAGUAGAUUUGGAGUGAGGUGGGGAUAAGAUACACACAACAUCACUGACAUCAGCCUCUUCUGUACUGUUGGCUAUUGGAAUUCUCAUUAGGUUUUCAAUAGACAAGCGAUUCUCCAUAAAUUUUCAAUAGCUAUGGCACAGGUGAAAGUGUACCAAAUAUAUAUUUAUUAUCUUGAAGAAUUUCUCUUUGUUCCUGUUGAUCAGCCU